GACGAACGCUGGCGGCGUGCUUAACACAUGCAAGUCGAGCGUGAUUUUUGUGGAAAUUCUUUCGGGAAUGGAAAUGAAAUGAAAGUGGCGAACGGGUGAGUAACACGUGAGCAACCUACCUUACACAGGGGGAUAGCCGUUGGAAACGACGAUUAAUACCGCAUGAGACCACAGAAUCGCAUGAUAUAGGGGUCAAAGAUUUAUCGGUGUAAGAAGGGCUCGCGUCUGAUUAGCUAGUUGGAAGGGUAAAGGCCUACCAAGGCGACGAUCAGUAGCCGGUCUGAGAGGAUGAACGGCCACAUUGGAACUGAGACACGGUCCAAACUCCUACGGGAGGCAGCAGUGGGGAAUAUUGCACAAUGGGGGGAACCCUGAUGCAGCGACGCCGCGUGAGCGAAGAAGGUUUUCGAAUCGUAAAGCUCUGUCCUAUGAGAAGAUAAUGACGGUAUCAUAGGAGGAAGCCCCGGCUAAAUACGUGCCAGCAGCCGCGGUAAUACGUAUGGGGCGAGCGUUGUCCGGAAUUAUUGGGCGUAAAGGGUACGUAGGCGGUUUUUUAAGUCAGGUGUGAAAGCGUGAGGCUUAACCUCAUUAAGCACUUGAAACUGGAAGACUUGAGUGAAGGAGAGGAAAGUGGAAUUCCUAGUGUAGCGGUGAAAUGCGUAGAUAUUAGGAGGAAUACCGGUGGCGAAGGCGACUUUCUGGACUUUUACUGACGCUCAGGUACGAAAGCGUGGGGAGCAAACAGG
rnacentral:rRNA from 1 species